rnacentral:misc_RNA from 1 species
CAUUUGCUUCUCUUGCUGGGGCUUUCCUGUACCCACCUCCACUGAUUCAGAUGUGGGUUGAUUCGUAUCUGCAUCUUUAUCCUUCUUGUUGCGAUAGAUGAAGUAUAGGAUCAGCUGUAUUAAACCUAGACCACAGCCAAGCCCACUGGGGACAGCUACAAAGGGAUCGUGGCCAACUAGGCCAUAGAUGAACCAAGAAGUGCCACACAGGAACACAAAUAGUGACAAGAAAAAUGGCAUGAACUCUAC